UACGUAGGGUGCAAGCGUUAAUCGGAAUUACUGGGCGUAAAGCGUGCGCAGGCGGUUUUGUAAGUCUGACGUGAAAUCCCCGGGCUCAACCUGGGAAUUGCGUUGGAGACUGCAAGGCUGGAGUCUGGCAGAGGGGGGUAGAAUUCCACGUGUAGCAGUGAAAUGCGUAGAGAUGUGGAGGAACACCGAUGGCGAAGGCAGCCCCCUGGGUCAAGACUGACGCUCACGCACGAAAGCGUGGGGAGCAAACAGG
rnacentral:rRNA from 1 species